UUGUCGGUAAAACUCGUGCCAGCCACCGCGGUUAUACGAGAGGCCCAAGUCAAUAGUUAACGGCGUAAAGAGUGGUUAGAGAAACCCAUCAGUAAAGCCGAACCGCUUCCAAGCUGUUAUACGCUAACCGAAGAUGAGAAGCUCGCCUACGAAAGUGGCUUUAUACUCUUGAAUCCACGAAAGCUAAGGCACAAACUGGGAUUAGAUACCCCACUAUGA
rnacentral:rRNA from 1 species